UUGCCCUGCCUACUUGUGUUUGCCUUGCCUACUUGUGUUUUCCCACCUUUUGUCUGCUUGGAACUAACUACAACAUGGGGCCGCUUUUAGGUGCCCAAUCCGACCCUGCCAAAGGCAUUUGCAAUAUCUAAAGUAUGUCUCUAUUGUUCCCAGCCAGGGUAGUAUUCGGGUAGAUCACGUGGUACUUCUAAGCGUUGAUUCUGACAGAGUCCGUGAGCAACAUGGGAGGGCUGUACAAAGUCUUUAUGAGGCGUUAAGAAAUGAAAACUGCACAAUGAGCUUAUAUUUUGCUGGAAUCCUAUGUUUCAAUUUGAGCCGAGCAGUUAUCAGCGAUCAAAUGGAUGUAAAAGAUCUUUGCUCUGAACUGGAGACAAUCCCCACUGAAUUUCAUCCUUUUUUCUCUGGCAUCAUUACUGUCUCCAAUCAGUUCUUAUGUGUGACCAACUGU